GUGAGGAAUAUUGGUCAAUGGGCGGGAGCCUGAACCAGCCAAGUCGCGUGAAGGAAGAAGGAUCUAUGGUUCGUAAACUUCUUUUGCAGGGGAAUAAAGUGCAGGACGUGUCCUGUUUUGUAUGUACCCUGAGAAUAAGGAUCGGCUAACUCCGUGCCAGCAGCCGCGGUAAUACGGAGGAUCCGAGCGUUAUCCGGAUUUAUUGGGUUUAAAGGGUGCGUAGGUGGUUUGAUAAGUCAGCGGUGAAAGUUUGCAGCUUAACUGUAAAAAUGCCGUUGAAUCUGUCGGACUUGAGUGUAAAUGAGGUAGGCGGAAUGCGUGGUGUAGCGGUGAAAUGCAUAGAUAUCACGCAGAACUCCGAUUGCGAAGGCAGCUUACUAAGCUACAACUGACACUGAAGCACGAAAGCGUGGGGAUCAAACAGGAUUAGAAACCCCGGUAGUCC
rnacentral:rRNA from 1 species